AGUGCUUGCACUCUGUGAAACAAGAUACAAGCUAGCGGCGGACGGGUGAGUAACACGUGGGUAACCUGCCAAGAGAUCGGGAUAACACCUGGAAACAGAUGCUAAUACCGGAUAACAACAGAUGAUGCCUAUCAACUGUUUAAAAGAUGGUUCUGCUAUCGCUCUUGGAUGGACCUGCGGUGCAUUAGCUAGUUGGUAGGGGUAAACGGCCUACCAAGGGCGAUGAUGCAUAGCCGAGUUGAGAGACUGAUCGGCCACAUUGGGGACUGAGACACGGCCCAAACUCCUGCGGGAGGCAGCAGUAGGGAAUCUUCCACAAUGGACGCAAGUCUGAUGGAGCAACGCCGCGUGAGUGAAGAAGGGUUUCGGCUCGUAAAGCUCUGUUGUUGGUGAAGAAGGACAGGGGGUAGUAACUGACCUUUGUUUGACGGUAAUCAAUUAGAAAGUCACGGCUAACUAUGUGCCAGCAGCCGCGGUAAAU
rnacentral:rRNA from 1 species